rnacentral:rRNA from 1 species
AAUUGAUCUGGUUCAGGAUGAACGCUAGCGGCAGGCUUAACACAUGCAAGUCGAGGGGCAUCGGGAGUAGCAAUACUGCCGGCGACCGGCGCAAGGGUGCGUAACGCGUGAGCAACAUGCCCGUAUCAGGGGGAUAAUCCAUGGAAACGUGGUCUAAUACCCCAUAGUAAUUAUGUAAGGCAUCUUAUAUAAUUUAAAGCUUUGGUGGAUACGGAUUGGCUCGCGUGACAUUAGCUGGAUGGUAAGGUAACGGCUUACCAUGGCUACGAUGUCUAGGGGUUCUGAGGGGAAGGUCCCCCACACUGGAACUGAGACACGGUCCAGACUCCUACGGGAGGCAGCAGUGAGGAAUAUUGGACAAUGGAUGGAAAUCUGAUCCAGCCAUGCCGCGUGCAAGGAAGACCGGCCCUAGUGGGUUGUAAACUGCUUUUGUAUGGGAGCAAUAAGGGCUACGUGUAGUCCGAUGAGAGUACCAUACGAAUAAGCACCGGCUAACUCCGUGCCAGCAGCCGC